GACGAACGCUGGCGGCGUGCCUAACACAUGCAAGUCAACUUGACUGAAGGAGCAAUCUGACAGUAGAGUGGCGCAAGGGUGCGUAACGCGUAAGUAACUUGCCCAAGGUAAGGAAUAACGUCGAGAAAUCGGCGCUAAUACCUCAUAAUGCAGCGGAUCCGCAUGGAUAUGUUGUUAAAGGUUUACCGCCUUGGGAUAGGCUUGCGUCUGAUUAGUUAGUUGGUGUGGUAACGGCACACCAAGGCUACGAUCAGUAACUGGUCUGAGAGGAUGAUCAGUCACACUGGAACUGAGACACGGUCCAGACUCCUACGGGAGGCAGCAGUGAGGAAUAUUGGGCAAUGCUCGAAAGAGUGACCCAGCAACGCCGCGUGGAGGAUGAAGGUAUUCUAUAUCGUAAACUCCUGUGAGAGCAGACGAAAGACAGAUUAUUAAUCUGGAUGACUGUAUGCUCAGAGGAAGCCCCGGCUAACU
rnacentral:rRNA from 1 species